UGGAUUAUGCAACUGUAGGGCAUGCUAGCGAGUACUCGAUAUUUAAAAAAAAAAAUGAGCAGAACCAACUAGUUAGUGUUACCAAUUCCACAUGAUUACCAAAUGUUCGUGUUAACACUUGCAAACAUCCACAUUCAUUGGGUGGCGGUGGCGUAGAGGGCUAUAUGUAGCGGGCUAGCUAGCUAAUAACGAACUAAGCAAGCUUGUUCGGAGUUGUGCAGACGUUUUGCGGCAGAUGUCGACAUUUGGGGGGAAAUUCCACAAACGCAACGUUGAGCAAUACUGCAAAGAAAGGGAUGUAUAUAACAAUAAUAAGUAAUUGAACAGUGUUUCGUGCUUGGUGGCAGUUACUUACGGUAUAUUUAUAUAUAAACCGUUGCGCCCACAACAACCGUAGCUAGUUAGCCUCGAUUCCGCCAUUUUGGUUAGCUAGAUUGAUAGCGUGUUUUAAAACUCCAUAAAACCUCCAUACAUCAACGAUUGGUGCUAAAUGAACACCAUGACACGCGAUCGAUACCACAAAAUAAAUACAAUCGUCCUGUACACUCACAACAUUGCUAGUAGCUAAACAUCGAUGCAUUUGUAAUUGCGAAGGGACAUUAGCUAGCUAGCCUAGCAUGUUAGCUAGAGCAUGCGGCAUUAUCAACCAUGUUGUUUUUCGACGGGCUGUAGAAGGCCCGUAACGGCCGACUGGGCCCUAGUCAUAUAUUUGAUAUGCAAUUUCAAUCGUUUCGAAAUGUUUUACCUUAUUAUGGACUCCUUGAAAUGGAUCGUCGAUAUGUUUCCUUUCUCGGUUGUGUCUGUUAUUGUUUGGGUUUAUUUUUUCGACACUAAGAUAAAUGCGGCCUGUACAUUUGGAUCCCCGGGCACUCUUUCCGAGGCCUGGGCCAAUCACGUUGCUCGCUCGCAACGGAGGGCGGGAGGGCCAGACAAUGCGUGGCCUCGUUUAGCGCCGAUCCCUGUCUGUUUGCGUCACGCAGGCGAGAGCUUUGAGUACACAUCGAUAUUGUCAAAUUGACAUAAAGAUAAUUUACUUACCUACUGAUCAGGAUUGUUACAGCAGUUGAUGAAAUAAGAAUAUACACGUGUGUUAGUUAAUGUGUUUGAUUAUCGGGCAGGGUUCAACAUUGGAGGACCGUUGUGCAUUGAAGUUACUAUUAAUCAUGUGCAUACACUCAUUCAUGUUCCCUAACAAAGUUGUCCCCUACUAUGACAGCUACACAUGUUGGAAUAGACACAUUGCCUUGUUCAAUAGGAUAUAACAGUUGGAUUAUUCAUAGGUUCUGAGUUAUCACAGUAUAUAUAUAUUUUUAUAUAGCAGCAUGUGUUCCAGCCUACGGCACAUCGAUCUAUGGUCCAUGCAUGCUGAACAGAGGAAGAGCAUCUGCACGAGAAACAAAGUAAACGUUCAAGUUCUGGUAUAUCAGUGGUGUGAGAGGGUUCUUCAUGCCAAGGAAGGUCUGUUCAUCUACAGUGGUCCAACCUACAGAGGUGUCUGGGCCAGUCUUCCCCUGGAGGAUGGGGCUGCUGCUUGCCUCCCACCCCCAGUAGAGGCUCUCCCAGCUGGGUAGUCUCCUGCAUUGGCAGGCCCUGGGGACUGGA